AAAGGAUUAGUUAAAAUAUAACAUCAGAAUGUCAAACUGAAAUAACUUAACAAAGUAUCCUUUU
rnacentral:tRNA from 4 species